rnacentral:rRNA from 1 species
UACGGGGGGAGCAAGCGUUGUUCGGAUUUACUGGGCGUAAAGGGCGCGUAGGCGGUCAGCACAAGUCAGUUGUGAAAUCUCCGGGCUUAACUCGGAAAGGUCAACUGAUACUGUGCGACUAGAGUGCGGAAGGGGCAACUGGAAUUCUCGGUGUAGCGGUGAAAUGCGUAGAUAUCGGGAGGAACACCAAUUGCGAAGGCAGCUCGCUGGGACGUUACGUGACGCUGAGACGCGAAAGCGUGGGGAGCAAACAGGG